AUGAACAUCGCGCUAAUGCUAUUCUGGGUGUGGCGGAUACUAUGCGGUGAGGGUGGCCCAUGGUUACAGCUCAUUCAGGCAAAAUACCUUAGGGGUGAGCCUCUCAUGGCGUGUUCCCGCUCAGGAGGGUCACAGGUCUGGCAAUCCAUCCAAAGGAUCAAGGAGGACAUCCAUCUAGGGAUAUCCUUCUCCAUAGGGGAUGGGGAUGGGACCCAAUUUUGGCUGGACCCUGGUUGGGUAACGAGCCACUGA
rnacentral:rRNA from 1 species